CCUACGGGAGGCAGCAGUGGGGGAUAUUGCACAAUGGGGGGAACCCUGAUGCAGCGACGCCGCGUGGGUGAAGAAGCGCCUCGGCGCGUAAAGCCCUGUCAGCCGGGAAGCAAAUGACGGUACCUGAAGAAGAAGCCGCGGCUAACUACGUGCCAGCAGCCGCGGUAAUACGGAGGGGGCAAGCGUUAUCCGGAUUUACUGGGUGUACAGGGGGCGCAGACGGCGAUGAAAGCCAGGAGUGAAAGCCCCGGGCCCAACCCCGGGACUGCUCGUGGAACUGCGUGGCUGGAGUGCAGGAGGGGCAGGCGGAAUGCGUGGUGUAGCGGUGAAAUGCGUAGAUAUCAGGAGGAACACCGGUGGCGAAGGCGGCCUGCUGGACUGCAACUGACGUUGAGGCCCGAAAGCGUGGGGAGCAAACAGGAUUAGAUACCCUAGUAGUC
rnacentral:rRNA from 1 species